UGGGGAAUAUUGCACAAUGGGGGAAACCCUGAUGCAGCAACGCCGCGUGAGCGAUGAAGGCCUUCGGGUUGUAAAGCUCUGUCUUCGGGGACGAUAAUGACGGUACCCGAGGAGGAAGCCACGGCUAACUACGUGCCAGCAGCCGCGGUAAUACGUAGGUGGCAAGCGUUGUCCGGAAUUAUUGGGCGUAAAGGAUGCGUAGGUGGUCCUUUAAGUGGGAUGUGAAAUCCCUGGGCUUAACCCAGGAAUUGCAUUCCAAACUGGAGGACUAGAGUGCAGGAGAGGAGAGUGGAAUUCCCAGUGUAGCGGUGAAAUGCGUAGAGAUUGGGAGGAACACCAGUGGCGAAGGCGGCUUUCUGGACUGUAACUGACACUGAGGCAUGAAAGCGUGGGGAGCAAACA
rnacentral:rRNA from 1 species